UACGGCUUAAGUUCAACUUUGGAG
rnacentral:miRNA from 1 species